GCCCAACAGGCAUCUAACUGAUAACUUCCACGGUACCCCACAAGGCUUAUCUACUAAGCCAUUUAACUACCUGUCUGCAGAUCUCUGCGCUAGGCCACCCGGCUAACGGGUUUGUAUAUAGUUCAUGUUUUAUUGUUAUACAUUGUCACCCAGCCCCACACCACCUCACCCUACCCACAAAACCACAGUAGAACAGCAAAAGACAGGGAUAAUUGUCGAGAAGGAACCCCACGCACUACAACCCGUCAAACAAUUACUAGCGAAAUGUCA